ACGAACGCUGGCGGCGUGCCUAAUACAUGCAAGUAGAACGCUGAAGAGAGGAGCUUGCUCUUCUUGGAUGAGUUGCGAACGGGUGAGUAACGCGUAGGUAACCUGCCUUGUAGCGGGGGAUAACUAUUGGAAACGAUAGCUAAUACCGCAUAACAAUGGAUGACACAUGUCAUUUAUUUGAAAGGGGCAAUUGCUCCACUACAAGAUGGACCUGCGUUGUAUUAGCUAGUAGGUGAGGUAAUGGCUCACCUAGGCGACGAUACAUAGCCGACCUGAGAGGGUGAUCGGCCACACUGGGACUGAGACACGGCCCAGACUCCUACGGGAGGCAGCAGUAGGGAAUCUUCGGCAAUGGGGGCAACCCUGACCGAGCAACGCCGCGUGAGUGAAGAAGGUUUUCGGAUCGUAAAGCUCUGUUGUAAGUCAAGAACGGGUGUGAGAGUGGAAAGUUCACACUGUGACGGUAGCUUACCAGAAAGGGACGGCUAACUACGUGCCAGCAGCCGCGGUAAUACGUAGGUCCCGAGCGUUGUCCGGAUUUAUUGGGCGUAAAGCGAGCGCAGGCGGUUUGAUAAGUCUGAAGUUAAAGGCUGUGGCUCAACCAUAGUUCGCUUUGGAAACUGUCAAACUUGAGUGCAGAAGGGGAGAGUGGAAUUCCAUGUGUAGCGGUGAAAUGCGUAGAUAUAUGGAGGAACACCGGUGGCGAAAGCGGCUCUCUGGUCUGUAACUGACGCUGAGGCUCGAAAGCGUGGGGAGCGAACAGGAUUAGAUACCCUGGUAGUCCACGCCGUAAACGAUGAGUGCUAGGUGUUGGAUCCUUUCCGGGAUUCAGUGCCGCAGCUAACGCAUUAAGCACUCCGCCUGGGGAGUACGACCGCAAGGUUGAAACUCAAAGGAAUUGACGGGGGCCCGCACAAGCGGUGGAGCAUGUGGUUUAAUUCGAAGCAACGCGAAGAACCUUACCAGGUCUUGACAUCCCGAUGCUAUUUCUAGAGAUAGAAAGUUACUUCGGUACAUCGGUGACAGGUGGUGCAUGGUUGUCGUCAGCUCGUGUCGUGAGAUGUUGGGUUAAGUCCCGCAACGAGCGCAACCCUUAUUGUUAGUUGCCAUCAUUCAGUUGGGCACUCUAGCGAGACUGCCGGUAAUAAACCGGAGGAAGGUGGGGAUGACGUCAAAUCAUCAUGCCCCUUAUGACCUGGGCUACACACGUGCUACAAUGGUUGGUACAACGAGUUGCGAGUCGGUGACGGCGAGCUAAUCUCUUAAAGCCAAUCUCAGUUCGGAUUGUAGGCUGCAACUCGCCUACAUGAAGUCGGAAUCGCUAGUAAUCGCGGAUCAGCACGCCGCGGUGAAUACGUUCCCGGGCCUUGUACACACCGCCCGUCACACCACGAGAGUUUGUAACACCCGAAGUCGGUGAGGUAACCUUUUGGAGCCAGCCGCCUAAGGUGGGACAGAUGAUUGGGGUGAAG
rnacentral:rRNA from 1 species